rnacentral:rRNA from 1 species
AUUGAACGCUGGCGGCAGGCCUAACACAUGCAAGUCGAACGAGUGGCGGACGGGUGAGAAAUGUCUGGCAAACUGUCCGAUGGAGGGGGAUAUCUACAGGAAACGGUAGCUAAUACCGCAUACCAUCGGAUGUGCCCAGAUGGGGUUAGCUAGUUGGUGGGGUAACGGCUCACCCAGGCUACGAUCCCUAGCUGGUCUGAGAGGAUGACCAGCCACACUGGAACUGAGACACGGUCCAGACGCCUACGGGAGGCAGCAGUGGGGAAUAUUGGACAAUGGGCGAAAGCCUGAUGCAGCCAUGCCGCGUGUAUGAAGAAGGCCUUCGGGUUGUAAAGUACUUUCAGCGGGGAGGCGUUACUCGCAGAAGAAGCACCGGCUAACUCCGUGCCAGCAGCCGCGGUAAUAC